AUUGAACGCUGGCGGCAUGCCUUACACAUGCAAGUCGAACGGCAGCAUAGAGAGCUUGCUCUCUGAUGGCGAGUGGCGAACGGGUGAGUAAAGCAUCGGAACGUACCGUGUAGUGGGGGAUAACGUAGCGAAAGUUACGCUAAUACCGCAUACGCACUGAGGUGGAAAGCAGGGGAUCGCAAGACCUUGCGCUAUACGAGCGGCCGAUGUCAGAUUAGCUAGUUGGUAGGGUAAAGGCCUACCAAGGCGACGAUCUGUAGCGGGUCUGAGAGGAUGAUCCGCCACACUGGGACUGAGACACGGCCCAAACUCCUACGGGAGGCAGCAGUGGGGAAUUUUGGACAAUGGGGGCAACCCUGAUCCAGCCAUGCCGCGUGAGUGAAGAAGGCCUUCGGGUUGUAAAGCUCUUUCGGCCGGGAAGAAAUCGCACAGGCUAAUACUCUGUGUGGAUGACGGUACCGGCAUAAGAAGCACCGGCUAACUACGUG
rnacentral:rRNA from 1 species